rnacentral:tRNA from 1 species
GCCCUUGUAGCCAAGUGGUUAAGGUCGAGUUCUGCAAAAACUCUAUGCGUAGGUUCAAAUCCUAUCAGGGGCU